GGGAGGCGGUGAGGAGGGGAGGGGGAGGCGGUGAGCCUCUUGUGUUACCACACGCUCUCCAGAGGUGCGACCGCCAGAAACGCCAAACUGCCCCAAACCAGGCGGGAGAACCCCCUUUCCUAGUUUGGGAAACAGGUGACAGAAGAACACGUUAAAUGACACCAGAAGGACCCAAGCGAGCAGAUCCAACCGGUCGGGUCACUUUAAACCGUCGACCCUAUGGGCGGCUGGGGGUGGAGGGGCCCAGCAGACACGGGCGGGGGUGCUCCACCCUCGCUCGGACCCUGGCUCGAGGGACCCGCUGUCAGACCACGUGGGGCAACCGGGGAGGCACAGAGCGCGGGAGAGAGGCGGGGUGGCCGCGUACGCUAGGAGGGGGCCGGAGGUGGACGCGCCAGUGUCCCGGGGGCUGAGUCGGGGGCCUGCGUUCUACUCAGACGCGUGGACGCUUCUAGACGAAGCCCAUCCGAGGUCUUCACAUCUGUUGAAUCCAGGUGGUGGUUCCUCGAGGGCUCGUCAGCCUGCCUCCUUUUCGUUAUAAAGACUUUAGGACCCAGGAGGAGAAUAAACACCCUUGAGUCCCUCGGUUGGGGGUGCAGACCGCCCUGGGCAGACACCCCGAGAGCCGGAGCAGGUGGCAGAGAGUCGUCCCGCCCACCCUUCCCUACCUUGUGAGAUUCAAUCUGAGACAAUAGGACCUACUCGAAAUGGUGAAUGACUUCCGCUUAUGGUGAGAUGGUGUGAACGGGGUGGCCCCGAUGCGAUGCGUGCAGAGUCCUUCCAGGUUCCGUGGGGGACCUUCCCAGCAGGAGUCAGGAGCCAGUGACCCCUGGGGGCACUGUCAGGUGGCUACGGCCCCCUUCCCCCCACCUGGAAGGCAGUCGGCCCUCGGGAAUAGGCCCCCAGCCCCUCGGCCAGGUGAACUCACCCCUGCUUCUCGGCAGCCCCGUCCUCUGCUGAGACCUUCGUCCCACACACGCACGCCCUUCGCUGGGCCGGAGUCCGUGCCCCAGAAGAGGCCCUACCAGCGGUGGGGGUGGAGGGCUCAGCGGACCUAACUUGAACCGGCCGCCGUCCCUGACCCGGCCACCAAGGCACAGAGCUGAUGGUGGUGCAGGUUGGAGCUGUGUCAGACCUGAACCCAUCAGCGGGGCCUCAGGGGAGCCCCAGAAGACACGGACCCGUCCGCGGAGGCCCGGCCCGGACCCCGCCAUCCCCGGCACACCCGGCCUGAUGGGGGCUGUGGCCCUGCUGAGGCCCGACCUCCCAGGCCACCCUGAGCCGCGGCCCCACCCGCCGGGGGCGGCGACCCGGGAGGCGCGUGGUGCUCGUGGGCAGUGGCCAGGCCCCAGGGGGGUGUUUCCGGGAGGCUGAGGUGCGCCCUGCGCCCAGACCUGUGCGGACUCCAGGCCCAGCGUUCUAGAUACUCGGCAGCCACUCACGCCGAAUCGCUGUUCGGGCCGGGUCUGAGCGGACCCCUGCCCGGAGCCACGAGAGCCUGCAGGGUGGCAGGCUGAGCCCCGAGAGUCCCUUAGAGAAAGGGCGGCCUGCGGGGCACCCCCCACAGGGACCCUCCCGGCCCCGAACACGCCUGGGGGUGUGGCUGCCUUAGAUCCGCCCCCACGUACUGUCCCUGCUGCAGGGCUGGGCACGGCCACCCGAGAAGUGCGGGGGGCCCAUCCCUGCGCCCCCUGGACUGACAGAGUCAGGACCGGGUCAGGCCUUGGCAGUGGGGGAAGGCAGCGGACCACCUGCCUCCCCCUAGCGUUUCCCAGGGAAAGUGGGGUGGGGGUUUGGAUUGCGGGUGCCUCAGCCUGGGGUCCUGUAAGCCGGAUGGGGGACCGGCAGCUGGGCCCGCCAGGGCGGGGCAGCGCCUCGGUGCAGGACGCUGUGUCCCAGGGAACCCGUGUGGCCCCUCACAGAGAAUCCCACCGGCGAAGUCCGCUGCGCCCAGCCGGGGUGAACUCUGGGGCCAGACUCAGAGCCGAGGACAGGGCGCGCAGGCCCCUUCCCUCCAGUGGGAGCCCCGCCCCGGGCAAGGGAAGUGAGGAGGGAGGUCACCCCGUGAACCACCGCCAGGGGAGGGCGCACCGGGGGCCAGGGCAGGAGCCGUGUGUCUGGGGCGGCCGCGCACCAGCGGUCGCUCCAGCUGCUCCCGCGUGUGGGCCGAGCCAGCUGGGAAGGUCCUGAGCGAAUGCGGAGCGUGUGGCCUGUGUCUGAGGUUGUCACCACCACGAGCCACAAGGAGAAGUAGGUCUGGGCUGCUUCCCUGCAUCUGCCUCCAGGAGAGUUCAAGGCGCCAGGCGGAUGACGGACGCCCCAACCCCGCCGGCCAUCCUGGGCCCGCCCGUUUGCGGUUAGGAGAGUUUGAGAGAGAUCUCUGGACCCCUGCUACUUCCUGAAAGUUCACAGCUGAGCAUGAGGUCUGCCUCCCUGAGUCACUUUGAGCUCUUGGAGCAAACUGCUCAGUAGGAUCAAGAAGACACAUGACAUGUACUAGAAACCGGAGUGCGUGUUAGAGCCUCUCUGAGAUCGGAGCAACUCAAGUAUGCCAGGUCCGAAGGCAGGACAGCCAGACCGACGGGUGACUGCUCCCCGCUUCGGAGGCCAGAGGACAGAGCACAGGGCGUCCACGUGCCAAAGACGCGGGGGACCCCUGGGUGAAGAGGGCGUCUCAGGCGGACCCGCGGGGGCCCCUACCAGCAAGGUCCUGUCCUCGGCAGAGGACGUCCUGAGGCAGGACGAGGGGUCUCAGGAGGGCGGCCCAGAGGAGGCAGGUGGGCCAGCAGGAGCCCGGCCGCCACGUGGCUCGUCGCACAGGGCGGACGACAAGGCCAACGUGCGAAGCUAGAAACGCGCGAGUCCCCACACGACUGGAACCCUGGGGGGAGCGGUGCGUCGGCCAGUCGGGCCCAGAGAGAUAGCGCUCGGGGCUCCCGGGCCACACGCUCAGGAGGGUGCAGACUCUGACGAGCUCCGGACACACAGAGGCACACAUUUCGUUUCCAGGGUAGUCUCUGAAAACCUAAAAAUAGACUUGAUAAUAACUUCCAAAUGAGUAGAGGCGGGAAACAGAAUUUAAGAAGUAAACAAAUCCAGAAGAUGUGUUUGCUCGCUUGGCGGGAAGGGAGAGUCUGUCCUAGCCGCUCUCCUUGGCUGGUGGAGGGCUGCCGUCUCCCUGUGUCCCCACACCGUCUUCCCCACCCGCGUCCCUGUGUGCGAAUGUGCCCACGUAAUAAGAACACGGUCCCAAGGGAUUAGGGCCCACCCAAAUGGCCUCAUCUGAACCCGGCCGCCUCUGCAAAGACCGGCCCCAAAUGAGGUCAUGUUCUAAGGUGCUGGGGUCAGGGGUCCCCCACGUCUUUUGGGGGGGGCACAGUUCAACCCAUAACAAAAGACAAAAGGGGAAUAAAAGCAAACAGAAAAGCAGACAAAGGAGCACAAAGUAAGGUGGAGAAAAGCAACAAAACCAUAUCAGUGAUGUCAAGAGUAUAAACGGAUUGCAAUCGGUAACUGAGAGGCAGCGAGCGUCAGAUUUCUAACUCCAGUCGGAAGCGUCACAUCCAAACCACAAGGAUGCAGACAGGCUGGAAGUAGAAGGUGGGGAAAAAAAUACCAAUGACUAGUCAUCGAGAGAGAGCUGCUCUUUUUAUAUUAAGUACUAAACAAAGACUUAGUAUUAAAAGCAUUAUUAGAAAUUACACUGCCUUCCUGUGAUUGUGUUACAAAUGACUACAAACAUAGAGGCUUAUAAAUGCCCAUCUUCAUUGUUCGGGGGAUGAGAGGUGAGAAAUGGGCUAAAAUCAGGGUGUCACAGCCACGCUCCUCCUGGAGACUCAGGGAGAAGCCGUUUCCCUGCGUGUCCGGCUCCCAGAAGCUGCCCGCAUCCCUGGGCUGGCAGCCCCUUCCUCCCUCUUCAGAAGGGCCAGUGGCCCCCACGUCCCCACAUUCCGGGACCCUGGACAGCACCGAGCCUGCCCCGGCAAUCUACGGCAGCCUCCCUCUUUUCCUAGUGCCAGGCAAUUCACAAACCCAAUUCCAUUUGCAACUCCUUUUGCCACGGAACCAGAGUUGCGCAUGAGCCAAUCAAGCUGCUAGACUCACAGGUUCUGGGAUCAGGACGUGCACGUCUUUGGGGGGUGGGGGCGUUAUUCCGCCUACCCCAGAGAUAAAGAGACCAUGACAUAAUAGUACAGAGGUCGAUUCAUCAGGAAAUCAGAACCGUUUUUAACUCACACGCACCAAUUAACAACGGCUUAAAACACAUAAAGCAAACCUUGAGAGAACUACAAGAAGUACACAAAUCCCCCAUCACGACAGGGGGGGGUUAAUCAUUUUUCUCCAUAACUGACAGUUGAAGCAGGCAAGAUGGUGCUGCGCACGAGCCGGGGUCAGGGGUGGGGGUCAAAGCAUGAAAGCUGCUAGAGAAGGGCGGUGGGGGGGGCACCCCGACUCUAUUGAAAAUGUGCACAGAAGAACGGUCACUCAACAAUUAAAGAAUACACUCUGGGGGUGCCUAGGUGGCUCAGUUGGUUAAGCGCCCGACUUUGCUCAGGUCAUGAUCUAGCAGUUCGUGAGUUCAAGUCCGGCGUCGGGCUGUGCUGACGGCUCGGAGCCUGGAGCUGCUUUGGAUUCUGUGUCUCCCUCUCUCUCUGCCCCUGCCCUGCUCACAUUCUGUCUCUCUCUGUCUCAAAAAUAA